rnacentral:lncRNA from 1 species
CCAAACCAAUUUUCGAUAGUUUUUGAUGGAAUCUGACCAAUGGUGGCUCACUAGAGAUGGGAAAAGAUCUAGAAGAAAGAAAUAGAAAUAAAUAUAAGUCUCGUACCUCAUCUCCAGCAAGGUUUCAAAGCCAACAUGAAGAGGGCAUUCGAAAUAAGAUGAAGGCUUUUUUCGAUGAGAUUUGACGGUUAGUCAGUGGGGCUUUCACAAGGGACUUUAUCCCUUUAAAUGGAGAUGGAAGGGGGAGGACCUAGACUUUCUCCCGGCCUCUAAUUUUGACUCUGAUCAAGAGUUAAUAGAGAAAAAAUUUAAUGGAAG